CCUACGGGGGGCAGCAGUGAGGAAUAUUGGUCAAUGGGCGCGAGCCUGAACCAGCCAAGUCGCGUGAGGGAAGACGGUCCUAUGGAUUGUAAACCUCUUUUGUCGGGGAGCAAAAGACGCCACGCGUGGCGUUCCGCGAGUACCCGAAGAAAAAGCAUCGGCUAACUCCGUGCCAGCAGCCGCGGUAAUACGGAGGAUGUGAGCGUUAUCCGGAUUUAUUGGGUUUAAAGGGUGCGCAGGCGGAAGAUCAAGUCAGUGGUAAAAUUGAGAGGCUCAACCUCUUCGAGCCGUUGAAACGGGUUUUCUUGAGUGAGUGAGAAGUGUGCGGAAUGCGUGGUGUAGCGGUGAAAUGCAUAGAUAUCACGCAGAACUCCGAUUGCGAAGGCAGCAUACCGGCGCUCAACUGACGCUCAUGCACGAAAGUGUGGGUAUCGAACAGGAUUAGAUACCCCAGUAGUC
rnacentral:rRNA from 1 species